rnacentral:lncRNA from 1 species
UGGAGGGCGGCGGUGCAGCGAGCUAAGGGACCCAGUUCGCAUGCAGAAAGAAAGUUAAAAGUGGCAUUUUUAGCACAGAGCCUAGGGAAUCCCGGUGGCAUUUGGCCAAAGUUGAUUUACCCCAUUUGUUAACACUCGCCCUUUACAAGGGAGAACUUAGUUGUCCAGAGGGGAAGUUAUUGGAAGAAUAACUGAUGAGGCCUAUCAGUAAUACCAAAAAAGGAUCUGCCAACAAAAAAGUGUCUUCACACUGAAAUCCCUGAGAGGUUUGUAAGCUAAUUGAAAUGUGGGCCUUGGAUACCCUGGUUGGGAUUUAUUCAUCUAAAAAAAGUGAAGAAAUGAAGAUCUUCUGAUGAUUCGGGCACUCUUUAACUCUAAGGACCCAGGUUUGGAGACUACUGGCAUCUUCUUUUUGGCAUUCAGCAAGAAUCUAAUCACUCAGCAUGCGAUACUCCUCUUCAGGGAAGAAGAGCCAGGGAAUCUCCAAAGGGUCCCAAAGCUGGGAAGGAUCCGAGACAAGGUCAAGCCUGACUCCGAGUGCCACACUCGUCCUACUCUACCACACUGGCUGUCAAGAAACUAA